rnacentral:rRNA from 1 species
UACGUAGGGUGCGAGCGUUGUCCGGAAUUAUUGGGCGUAAAGAGCUUGUAGGCGGUUUGUCGCGUCUGCUGUGAAAUUUCGGGGCUCAACCCCGAACUUGCAGUGGGUACGGGCAGACUAGAGUGUGGUAGGGGAGACUGGAAUUCCUGGUGUAACGGUGAAAUGCGCAGAUAUCAGGAGGAACACCGAUGGCGAAGGCAGGUCUCUGGGCCAUAACUGACGCUGAGAAGCGAAAGCAUGGGGAGCGAACAGG